UGCAGGCGCCGGGUCACUGACCAGGCGCUGCGCCUGCUCAUUGCACUCGUGCGGGUGCAGUGGGCGCAGGCGCAGGCGUACGACGUCUAUAGUCCACGUGAAGCCAGGGCUUCCGGCACUUGAGGCUCCGCCUGAGUUUCUUGCGCGCGUGGAGUAGGUCCUCCAGGUUUUUUCCCAGGGCUAAAUGUGGCCCUGCAGCUUGUCUCGGCGGUGCCUGUGGCCUCGGGGAACUGGGUGCCCGCGUGUCUGUGGUACACCCGAACCAGGGAUCUGUCUAGCUUCUGUCGUCAAGUCUCCAGGGAAAGCCAUUUUUUGAAUGCCUGCAGUGGAAUGGCAUUCAUUCCACCUUCUACACCUCUGAUAACCAGAUGUAGAAGAUAUGCUUGCUCUUCAGGGCACAGUUCAGGUAACAAAGCUCUUUCAAAUACUUCCGAUGAAUUAGGAAUCAUGUUUUGAAGACGCAAUUGUAAAUAAUGAACAAG